CCAGUGAGAUAAAUUGAAACAGCAAGAGAGGAAGAAGAAUUUGUUUCACAUCAGAAUAUGUUUUGUAAAGGCAAGACAUUAUCCCCCAAAUGACUGCAUCCUGUUACAGGAUAUAAUCCCGCUGCAUACAUGGUAUCCACCUAGGCUGUUCCACCAACCCACAAGGCUUGGAGUACCAGGCAACUUAUGAAAACAUGAAGAUUAUGCUGCCUGCUAUGUUCAUCUGCCUUAGAGUGGAAUGGCAUUAUGAGUGCAUUUAAUUGGACCAAAAAGAAAGCUGAGCACUGAAGAAUUGAUGCUUUUAAAUAGCGGUGUUGGAGAAGACUCUUGAGAGUCCUUGGACUGCAAGGAGAUUCAACCAGUCAAUCCUAAAGGAGAUCAGUCCUAAAUAUUCAUUGGAAGGAUUGAUGUUGAAGCUGAAACUCCAAUACUUUGGCCACUCACUCAUUUGAAAAGACCCUGAUGUUGGGAAAGAUUGAAGGCAGGAGGAGAAGGGGACGACAGAGGACAAGAUGGUUGGAUGGCAUCGUCGACUCAAUGGACAUGCAUUUGAGUAAACUCUGGGAGUUGGUGAUGGACAGGGAGGCCUGGUGUGCUGCAGUUCAUGGGGUCGCAAAGAGUAGGACACGACUGAGCGACUGAACUGAAGUGAACUGACUGAAUUUACAAUAUUUAACUAUGUCUGUAUGCUUAAAGCAAAAAAUCAGUCUAGCAAUGUGAGUAAUCUUAUCAACUAUUCCAAGAUCAAAGAAUCCAUACUCUGGAGUGAGCCUGAGAAGGAGACAUUUGAAUCUAUAGUCCUUCAUCUGCUCCCAUUCAUAAAGGCAAACUCUCUUCCGUGAGUGGGAUUUUUCUAGAUCAAGAGAGAACUAUUUAAUAAAACAAAAGACCUACCAAACAAUUGAGGUCCAGGGUAAGACUACAAAUAGAGGCCUGUAAACCAUACUAAAUACUUAAAAGUUAUAAAUCAAGUUAACAAAGAGUUAAACAGAAAACUCCCCUCUGAACCUUGAAAAUUACACCUUCACAUUGAUAAAAGUUAAAAAAUAAAUAUGAGUAGAGCUAUGAUUUUUAUAUGACUUAGAGUUGGCAAGACAUCAAAGACAAAGGAAUUUAAUUAUUAUUAUGCACAUAGGGAUAUCCUGUUUAUGGGCUGGUGGUGUGUGGAUGAGUAAUAAGGUAAAGACAUACACAAUAUACAAAGUAUUAUGCAUUCUUCUUAUAAAAAUAUACUAUUCCUUUUUUCACUAGUAACAGUGUUACAAACAAUAUUUUCACAAAAUUUUUGUUUCAAUAUAGUUUUGCUCUAGCACAAAGUAAAAUAGAAAUAUAUGCUUCAUAUACAAAAAUGUAAAUGAGUAAGCAUGAAAAAAGGAAAAUUAAAGUCAUUUUUAUACAUA